UCAGGGGUUGGCCAAUGACCAGGCCGCCCGGGAUGAGCUAAUAAUGGAAGCAAUUUGUAACUUUCAGUAGCUCUCUAGGCCUGGGUACCGGAAGGAGGGAGGCGGGCAGAGGAGAGGAGAUGGGCACCCCCAGUCCUUCCAUCCUCCUCAUUCGUCUAGGGGCAUCCGGAUCCCCUGUUUCUUAUUUCCCCUAUCACCCAGGAACUGGCAGGUCAUUUGCCCACUCCUGUUGGCCAUGGCGGCUCCAAAGCGAGAUGUGCCUGAGACAGGCUUGACCUGGCAACUGAAAAGACAUCCCUGAAAGAAGACAAAGCUCAGGUGUGAAAGGAAUGUGCAUCCCAGCCGACCAGGUGGAACAGAGCUGUCUGCUGUCUGGAACUGCGUCCUCCCAGACUAAGGCUGCAGCCGGGAAUUCCACAGACGGUUUGCCAUGGAUCAAGAUUUCUCCUGAGAAAGAGCACACAGGAAGGCUGCAGUGAGAAAUGAAGUCACUUACUACUUUCCUUAUUCCUCCAUCAGGAGGAUGAAGUCACUGCACAUUUGAGUGGGUGCUAUCAAAGCGUAGCCUCUGGCCAGCAUGGAGACAAACGUGGGCUGUGUGGCCCAUGGCUGAGUGGCUGCAAGGAAAUCUGAGAUGGUAGAUGAUUGAAUUGGUUGAAAUAAAAUUUCUG